rnacentral:rRNA from 1 species
GACGAACGCUGGCGGCGUGCUUAACACAUGCAAGUCGAACGCUGAAGACCUGGCUUUUGUUGGGUUGGAUGAGUGGCGAACGGGUGAGUAACACGUGGGUAACCUGCCCUCUUCUUUGGGAUAACGCCCGGAAACGGGUGCUAAUACUGGAUAUUCACUGAUCUUCGCAUGGGGGUUGGUGGAAAGGUUUGUUCUGGUGGGGGAUGGGCUCGCGGCCUAUCAGCUUGUUGGUGGGGUGAUGGCCUACCAAGGCUUUGACGGGUAGCCGGCCUGAGAGGGUGAGCGGUCACAUUGGGACUGAGAGACGGCCCAGAAUUGUACGGGAGGCAGCAGUGGGGAAGAUUGCACAAUGGGCGAAAGCCUGAUGCAGGGAGGACGCGUGAGGGAGGGAGGCCUUGGGGGUGAAAAACUCUUUAGCGCAUGGAAAAGCCGCAAAUGUGGGUUGUGGUGAGGGUAGUGGGUAAAGAAGCGCCGGCUAACUACGUG